CGUCUUCUUCUUCUCCCGCACGCCAUGCCGCACCAGUGCCCGUGCCGCCGCCGCGAUCCCGAUCUUCUAGGGAUCGCACAAUCCCUCUGCCCCCUCCUCCAAGCACCCCUCCCCCUAUAAAUACCCCUCUCCCUCGACCCGCCCCCUCCUUUUCCCUCACGGAGAGAAACCCUGCCGCCUCCUCGAUUCCUCGCCGGAGCAGAGCACCGCCGCCGCACCAUUGUUGCCCUACUUCAUCACCCUGACCACCCCGCCACCGCCCAAAUCUACCCACGCACCUGCCGCCCUCUCCCACGCCUCCCAGUGCCCUCACCCGAGCUCCAGCACCGCCGGAGCGCCAUCUUCAUCAACUACCGAACGUCACCGCCGCCCCGAGCUCGCCGCCGUCCUCCUCCGAUGUCCUCGAGCUCCACCGAGGCCACAACCAUGAUCGCCUUCGUCCGCUGCAUCCUCCCGACGAGUUCACCGAGUUCGCCGACGACUACCGGAGCACCGUCCCCGUCAACCACCGAAGCCGGAGCAUCUCGCCGGAGCUCGUCCGCCGCCGUUAUAUUUCUUCGACGAGUAAGAGUUACGAUACAGGGUUACGGUCUACACUCAACUUGCCGAUGGCGUUGAUGGGAUUCCACACCCGAAUGUUUGUUUCUGCUGAGACUUAUAAGGUAUAUAUCAGUUUAACAUUAUUUUUACAUGUGAUUUGUUGGAAAUAUGCCCUAGAGGCAAUAAUAAAUGGUUAUUAUUA